AUGCUAAAAAACUACUAAUAAAAAGUCAAAAAGGCUACUACCUAGACCUAUAGCCUUUAGAAAAUUCUACAAGUCUAGUAAAGUCUAUAAGUCUACAUAUAGGAACUUACAAUAAUUACAAUUCUUUUACGUAAAGACAAAAUCUAUACAAUGAUCAUAAAUAAUUCAAUAUCUUGUCUCCGUUGAUGUUGUCGUAUCUGCUAUAUCUCCAUUAUUGCUUCUUAUCUUAUUUUUUCAGCUGGCAUUUUAUCUUCUUCUAUUCUAGAUGUACUUCUAGAAUAAUGUUAUCUUCUCCAUUACACCUUGAACAUUGAUGAUCUGGAUAUUUGUGUCCAAUUAUUUUACAAUACCUUGUCAGUAGUCUGUCUGAAAUAAAUCCCUUUUUAAUUGCUCUUGCGGUAGAUUGUUUUUCUGGGUUAAGUAAUGUCAUUAUCCAUUGUCUGAUAUCUUCCAUAUCUGCUUGUCGUA
rnacentral:lncRNA from 1 species